ACGCGUGUGAAAAAGUCGCGUCCCUUGAUUAGCGUUUAAUUUGUUUGUUUCUCUAAAUAUCUUAACCUCGUUUUCCGCAUCAUCAGCUGUUCUUUAGUGCGAUCAGUGAGAACUAAUCAAGUUUCCGUUAAACACAUCUAUUUUUGAAAACAGUAAAACCGAAAAAUGAGGAAUUUACUCGAAGUAACGGCAUUUUCUUCCUAAGCAAACUUUGCGGGGGGAACUAGAGUGCGAUACUUACUGCGACUGGACGAUGCGCUGACAUAGGCGGAGGAACGUCGUUUGAAACCGCUGGGCGCUGCCUCGCCACCGGCACCGCCUGUGCCACCGCUGCUGCUGCUGGCGGGCAGGAAACGGGAGAGGGAGAGCAGGGUCUUGAACAGUUCGGUCACGCUGGUGUCCUCCUUCGCUGAGCACUCAAGCACCUUGGCCCUGCAAACGAAAAAAGGCGAAAAAAGCGAAAA